rnacentral:rRNA from 1 species
GACGAACGCUGGCGGCGUGCUUAACACAUGCAAGUCGAACGGGAAGGCCCUGCUUUUGUGGGGUGCUCGAGUGGCGAACGGGUGAGUAACACGUGAGUAACCUGCCCUUGACUUUGGGAUAACUUCAGGAAACUGGGGCUAAUACCGGAUAGGAGCUCCUGCUGCAUGGUGGGGGUUGGAAAGUUUCGGUGGUUGGGGAUGGACUCGCGGCUUAUCAGCUUGUUGGUGGGGUAGUGGCUUACCAAGGCUUUGACGGGUAGCCGGCCUGAGAGGGUGACCGGCCACAUUGGGACUGAGAUACGGCCCAGACUCCUACGGGAGGCAGCAGUGGGGAAUAUUGCACAAUGGGCGGAAGCCUGAUGCAGCAACGCCGCGUGCGGGAUGACGGCCUUCGGGUUGUAAACCGCUUUCGCCUGUGACGAAGCGUGAGUGACGGUAAUGGGUAAAGAAGCACCGGCUAACUACGUG